UUGCAUUGCAGCACAAGUUCAGCAGGUUUUAUAUCUCUGUGAGAUUGAACUCCGAGAAUCUGAACCAACAGCAACCAUGAGCUUCAUCACCAUCUUCAUCUGGAUCUUCACUAGCUGCUGUUUCACAGAAUUAGUAUCUGGAGUGACAGUCACUCAGACUCCUGCAGAGAAACCUGUUCAACCAGGAGACACAGUUACUAUGUCCUGUAAAACCAGUCCUGAAGUUUACCAGGGUUGGAACGAUCAGCCUUUAUCCUGGUACUUACAGAAACCUGGAGAAGCUCCUAAACUCCUGAUUUAUUGGGCAAACCGUCGUCAGUCAGGAACUCCAUCUAGAUUCAGUGGCAGUGGAUCUAACAGUGAUUUCACUCUGACCAUCAGUGGAGUCCAGACUGAAGAUGCUGGACAUUAUUACUGUCAGAGUUACCACAGUGGUUAUGUGUUCACACAGUGAUUGUGAGUUGUACAAAAACCUGUGUCAGUCAGAGUCACAGUGACUGAACUGA